GGACUGUAGUGGUUUUGCGGCCUGGAUUGAGAACAGAAAGCUACACCAGUUUAAUCAGUGAAAAUGAGAAAGGACAUGUUUCUUCACACAGAUUUCUUCAUCUGCACAGUGGGUGCCUUCCACUGCCAACAGGACCACCCAGAGUGGAGAAGCCACACGCGGCAUCCACCCAGCAUCAUCAGAAUGGAGGCUGCCCUCACUGGGUGAGGAGAAGCUCUCACCCCAGAUGUGGAGAGGUGGAAAAAGCUGCUCUUCAUUAGGGGAAUAUUGUGUGCAGUGAACCCAGCCCUGGGAGAUAUCCCAGUGGUUACAAGAUUGGAGUUAAUUGGCUGAGGCUGAGAUCAUCAGGGACUUGAAUGCUACUUUUGUUAAAAAGCACUGACUCUUUACUUGGGCCUGCAAAUGCCCAAUGGGUAACUGAAAGUAGAAUAAAGUUGAUAGCUCUACCU
rnacentral:lncRNA from 1 species